AGGAGCCAUGUGAGAUGAAAAUCUUAUGCACGGUUUUGAAUGAGAGAAAGAAGUGAGGAAUCCUCUUUUCGACUCUGAC
rfam:Daucus carota subsp. sativus cultivar DH1 chromosome 1, whole genome shotgun sequence.